rnacentral:rRNA from 1 species
GACAGAGGGUGCAAACGUUGUUCGGAAUUACUGGGCGUAAAGCGCGUGUAGGCUGCUCGGAAAGUCGGAUGUGAAAGCCCCAGGCUCAACCUGGGAACUGCACUCGAAACUGCGUUUCUUGAGUAUCGGAGAGGAAAGCGGAAUACCUGGUGUAGAGGUGAAAUUCGUAGAUAUCAGGUGGAACACCAGUGGCGAAGGCGGCUUUCUGGACGAUUACUGACGCUGAGACGCGAAGGCGUGGGGAGCAAACAGG